AAUUUUCAAUUUUAAUUAGAACAUAAAUUGUUUAUAAAUUUUACUUAGUAUAGAAAUAUUAUUGAAAAUUAGGGAAAAAUUAAUUGUGAUUAGAUUACUAAGUAAGAAUUAGUGAUUAAUUAAUUUAAUUUUUUAAUUGGGGCCCCACCCGUUUUAAAUUAAAAAAAAAAACAAAACAAAACAAAUCAGCAAAAUAUUAGAUGAGUCAUUAUAGGGGGAUUAUGUGUCAACAUAGGGCAGCCCAUAUAUUAAUUAUAUGGUGACUCACAAGUCACAUUUCACCCACAACUUGUUUCCAAAUCAUUGAAUUAGAAAGGAAAGGUAAUUUAAGCUUAGAGAAGGGGAGAAAGCUCGGCCAUGGCAGCUUGUGGUUAAGCUCACGGCCAGCCAUGGCCGGCCAGCCCUUGGUAAUUAAAUGGUUAAAUUUCAAUCACAAUUGGAGGAGAAAGAUGGAGGAAGCUCACGGCCAUGGUUGGUUUUAGCCAAGUUUGUUAAGGCUAAAAGAGCGACAAAGCGAACGGAUUUGCAAAUAGUCGUUAAACGGGUACAGAUAGUCGGUUUGGCGACCCUUCAGCAUAGGACUACUACUCAGCUGUUUUUGAGGGCUCCGUUGUUCCGGAGUCUAGACUUUUAGUACAAAUCUUGUGAUAUAUAUAUGUAUACGUUAUCCAGGAGUACGACGGGGCCCUGUCCCGUCAUAUUUCGCUAUUCGUACUCUUAGAGGUUUGUAGACAUAUGUGUGAGUUGUGUAUAAGUUCUGUUCAGCUGUGUCUGUACGAUGUGCUAUGACAUGAUGUUCGUCUGUAAUGGCAGCCUUGUCAGCUUGCAUAUGAUAUUGAUAUGUAGUGGCAGCCUUGUCGGCUUGCGUAUCAUUUCAUGAUUUGAUUAGUUGUGACUCCUCAGGAGACAGUGUAUCUGGAUAUAUAUGUACAUGAUAACGUUGUGAACCUUGAAGUUCUUUUGCAAGUUUCCAUAUUGUUCUUAGGUUCAGUUUGACUAUAUCCAAGAGGCACGUGUAUGGGUGCCCAGGUCGGGCACUAGUCAUGGCCCACGGGGUUGGGUCGUGACAGUUUGCUACGAAUACACAUGGUGUUUAAUAUGGGGCUCACAUUUGUUUUUUAACAUUGUUUGUUUUUUAAAUAUGGGAUUCACUUUUUUUUUUUCACUAUUGCUUGAUUUUGUUAAUAUGGGGUCCACUUUUUUUUUUCCGUGAGUUUGGAUGUGGUGGAUUCCACUUUUUUUUUUUUUAAUACUGGAUGGUGUUUAAUAUGGGGCCCACAAUUUGGAAUUCAUUUUUUUUAAAAUAUAUUGCUUGAUUUUGUCAAUAUGGGAUACUAUGUUCAAAACACGAUUAAUAUAAUAUUGUAGUUUGUGCUCUGUAUUUAAAAUUUUAUUAUAUUAGUGUUUGCUACGAAUACGCACGGUGUUUAAUAAGGGGCCCACAUUUUUUUUUUAAUAUUGCUUGAUUUUGUUAAUAUGGGGUUCACUUUUUUUUCCCGUGAGUUUGGAUGUGGUGGGUUCCACUUUUUUUUUAAUACUGGAUGGUAUUUAAUAUGGGGCCCAAUUUUUUUUUUAAUAUUAGUUGUUGUUUAAUAUAUAUGGGGCCCACAAUUGUUUUUUACAAUUUUUUUAAUGGGCCUGUUUAAUAUGGGGCCCAUUUUUUUUUUGUAUAUAUAUAUUAUGUUCAAAACACGAUUGAUAUAACAUUGUAAUUUGUGCUCCGUAUCUAAAACUUUAUUAUAUUAGUGUUUGCUAAGAAUACAAAGUCUGCAUUUUUUUUUUGACAUUGUUUAUUUUUUUAAUAUGGGAUUCAUUUUUUUUAUAUAUAUUGCUUGAUUUUGUCAAUAUGGGAUACUAUGUUCAAAACACGAUUAAUAUAACAUUGUAGUUUGUGCUCCGUAUUUAAAAAUUUAUUAUAUUAGUGUUUGUUGCGAAUACGCAUGGUGUUUAAUAUGGGGCCCACAUUUUUUUUAACAUUGUUUGUUUUUUAAAUAUGAGAUUCACUUUUUGUUUUUUAAUAUUACUUGAUUUUGUUAAUAUGGGGUCCACUUUUUUUUUCCGUGAGUUUGGAUGUGGUGGGUUUCACUUUUUUUUUUUUUUAAUACUGGAUAGUGUUUAAUAUGGGGCCCACAAUUUUUUUUAAUAUUAGUUGUUGUUUAAUAUAUAUGGGGUUCACAUUUUUUUUUUUUACAA